UACGUAGGUGGCGAGCGUUAUCCGGAUUUACUGGGCGUAAAGCAUGUGCAGACGGGUUGGUAAGUGGUGUAUGAAAGCGUCCGGCUUAACCGGGCAAGGGUAUGCCAGACUGCCAGUCUUGAGAAUGGGAGAGGGAUGUGGAAUUCCGGGUGUAGUGGUGAAAUGCGUAGAGAUCCGGAGGAACCCCAGAGGCGAAGGCGGCGUCCUGGCCCAUUUCUGACGUUCAGACAUGACAGCAUGGGGAGCGAACGGG
rnacentral:rRNA from 1 species